AUUCCGUUCAUGUUGUGGAGGCUUCUUCUACUUUUUUGUCAGGCACUCUGCUUGCGGAUAUUUUACAUUCAACGUACUCGUCUAGCAAUGAUACUUUGGGAUCUUUAAUUUCCGUCCAUCUUUCCCUUCUCUUUCCCCUUCUUCUCUUUUCUACACUGACUUGUUGACAUGUGCUUCUAUUUUUUUCUUCGUGUUUGGAGAUG